rnacentral:rRNA from 1 species
AACACGCGGAUAACCUACCCUUGGGUCUGGGAUAACCCCGGGAAACUGGGACUAAUACCGGAUAGAUCAAAGAAACUGGAAUGUUCUCUGGUUUAAAACUCUGGUGCCCAAGGAUGGGUCUGCGGCCCAUCAGGUAGUAGUGGGUGUAACGUACCUACUAGCCUACGACGGGUAAGGGUUGUGAGAGCAAGAGCCCUGAGAUGGAUUCUGAGACAUGAAUCCAGGCCCUACGGGGUGCAGCAGGCGCGAAAACUUUACAAUGCGGGAAACCGCGAUAAGGGGACCCCGAGUGCCAGCACCUAGUGCUGGCUGUCCAGCUGUUCAAAUAACAGUUGUUAGCAAGGGCCGGGCAAGACCGGUGCCAGCCGCCGCGGUAACACCGGCGGCCCGAGUGGUAGCCGUUAUUAUUGGGUUUAAAGGGUCCGUAGCCGGCCUAUUAAGUCUCUUGGGAAAUCUGGCGACUCAAUCGUCAGGCGUCCAAGAGAUACUGGUAGGCUUGGGACUGGGAGAGGUGGGAGGUACUCCAGGGGUAGGGGUGAAAUCUCGUAAUCCUUGGGGGACCACCGAUGGCGAAGGCAUCCCACCAGAACGGGUCCGACGGUGAGGGACGAAAGCUGGGGGCACGAACCGGAUUAGAUACCCGGGUAGUCCCAGCCGUAAACGAUGCUCGCUAGGUGUCAGGUGCGGUGCGACCGCAUCUGGUGCCGCAGUGAAAACUUGAAGCGAGUCACCUGGGAAGUACGGUCGCAAGGCUGAAACUUAAAGGAAUUGGCGGGGGAGCACCACAACGG